ACCCGCUGAACUUAAGCAUAUCAAA
rnacentral:rRNA from 1 species